GAAAGGUGCAUUUUUUACUCUUCUGCUGCAAGUGAGUUAUUUCCUCUUCUUUUCUCUGUCUGCUGCUGUGGAAGGUGGAACAAGAGGAAAAAGUGAAGAAUCCACUGCUGGGGAAUGCUGAAAUCCCCUUGUGCAGAGCAUUAAAUCCUGUUCUGCAGCCUUGGCUGGGUUUUCAACCACUGAGAGCUGCUCUUGCUGGUGUUAACAUCACCUUAUUUUGGGUGUAAUCAUUGCAAUUUGGAUGUCCUGGAAAAUCAAGAGGAUUUUGUUCUCCACGUACAGAUUUGUCUGGUUUAAAGCCAAUAAUUAAAAGGUAAUUUAUCAGGGACUUGGUUUCCUGCUGUACUUUUACUUCCAGUUCCUCACGUGUAUGUUCAGCCCAGAAUGAUCUUUCCUAUUUAAGGGAUAUUGUUUGUGUCCUUCUGUAGGGUUUUAAAUAAAUCAAUUUUUACAGUAUUUGCCUAAAAUGCUGAAUAAAACAAAAUCUCUGCUUACCUGCA